rnacentral:rRNA from 1 species
CCCGCACAAGCGGUGGAGCAUGUGGUUUAAUUCGAUGCAGCGCGAAGAACCUUACCUACUCUUGACAUCCAGAGAACUUAGCAGAGAUGCUUUGGUGCCUUCGGGAACUCUGAGACAGGUGCUGCAUGGCUGUCGUCAGCUCGUGUUGUGAAAUGUUGGGUUAAGUCCCGCA